GACGAACGCUGGCGGCGUGCUUAACACAUGCAAGUCGAACGGAAAGGCCCUGCUUUUGUUGCGUUCUCGAUUGGCGAACGGGUGUGUAACACGUGAGUAACCUGCCCUUGACUGUGUGAUAACUUCAGGAAACUGGGGCUCAUACCCGAUAUAAUCUCCUGCUGCAUGGGGGGGGUUGGAAAGAUUCGGCGGUUGGGGAUGGAAUCGCGGGUUAUCAGCUUGAUGGUGGGGUAGGGGCAUACCAAGGGUUUGAAGGGUAGGCGGCCUGAGAGGGGGAACGGGCACAAUGGGACUGAGAGACGGCGCAGACUGCUACGGGAGGCAGCAGGGGGAAGUCUGGCAGAAUGGGGGGAAGCCUGAUGCAGAAACCCCGCGUGCGGGAUGACGGCUUACGGGGGAUAAACAGAUUUGGAAGGAGACGAAGCGUGAGUGACGGUAACGGGUAAAGAAGCACCGGCUAACUACGUG
rnacentral:rRNA from 1 species